ACUAUGAUUGUACCCAAGGCUUAUUAACUCCAUCAAUGUCAACCUUUUCAGACAUUUGAAGAGGGGGUGACUAUGAUUGUGCCCAAGGCUUAUUAACUCCAUCAAUGUCAACCUUUUCAGACAUUUGAAGAGGGGGUGACUAUGAUUGUGUCCAAGGCUUAUUAACUCCAUCAAUGUCAACCUUUUCAGACUUUUGAAGAGGGGGUGACUACAAUAUGUUUUCUCAAAUUCAGGUAAAUUGAAAACGAGUUUUUUAGGUGCUUAGAC
rnacentral:lncRNA from 1 species